GAUGAAGAACGUAGCGAAACGCGAUACGUAAUGUGAAUUGCAGAAUUCAGUGAAUCAUCGAAUCUUUGAACGCACAUUGCGCCCGCCGGUAUUCCGGCGGGCAUGCCUGUCCGAGCGUCAUUUCACCACUCAAGCCCAGCUUGGCGUUGGGGCACCCGGCCGCCUGGCGGUCGGGGCCCCCAAGAACAUCGGCGGUCUCGCUAGGACCCUGAGCGCAGUAACUCGCGGUAAAACGCGCUUCGUUCGGAGGCUUCCCGGCGGGCUCCAGCCGCUAAACCCCCUAAACUUCUUAGGUUGACCUCGGAUCAGGUAGGAAUACCCGCUGAACUUAAGCAUAUCAAUAAGCGGAGGA
rnacentral:misc_RNA from 1 species